rnacentral:rRNA from 1 species
UACGGAGGGUGCAAGCGUUGUUCGGAAUUAUUGGGCGUAAAGCGCGCGCAGGCGGUCGGGCAAGUCUAUGGGUGAAAUGCCGGGGCUCAACCCCGUGCAUGCCCAGGAUACUGCCCGACUGGAGACACGUAGAGGCAAGCGGAAUUUCGGGUGUAGCGGUGGAAUGCGUAGAUAUCCGAAAGAACACCGGAGGCGAAGGCGGCUUGCUGGGCGUGAUCUGACGCUGAGGCGCGAAAGCGUGGGGAGCGAACAGG